rnacentral:rRNA from 1 species
AACGAACGCUGGCGGCAGGCUUAACACAUGCAAGUCGAACGCAUCCUUCGGGGUGAGUGGCAGACGGGUGAGUAACGCGUGGGAACGUGCCCUUCAGUUCGGGAUAACCCAGGGAAACUUGGGCUAAUACCGGAUACGUGCGAGAGCAGAAAGAUUUAUCGCUGAAGGAUCGGCCCGCGUCUGAUUAGCUAGUUGGUGGGUUAAUGGCCCACCAAGGCGACGAUCAGUAGCUGGUCUGAGAGGAUGAUCAGCCACAUUGGGACUGAGACACGGCCCAAACUCCUACGGGAGGCGGCAGUGGGGAAUAUUGGACAAUGGGCGCAAGCCUGAUCCAGCCAUGCCGCGUGAGUGAUGAAGGCCUUAGGGUUGUAAAGCUCUUUCGUCCGGGACGAUAAUGACGGUACCGGAAGAAGAAGCCCCGGCUAACUUCGUGCCAGCAGCCGCCGUAAUAC